UAAAAAGAAGCUUGUAGUCUAGAGAAAUGCUUACCAGCCACAAAACAGAAGAUAUGACACGUUACUAUAUAUAAAAUCAAAAAUAAAAGUUUACAGAGGUGAUUGAAUCAAUUAACUAUUCCAUGUUUCUUUCCCACAAUCUGUUGUCAAAUAAAUCCUAGUUUGUCCGCACAGUGAUGUAUAGCAUGGUUAACGGUGUGUGUGUCCUAAUAGUUAAGGUCAGACGGGAGAGAUGAACACAAUAGAUGUUAUGAGUACCUGAUGCAUGGGGGGUCUCAGAAUACAGCUCAGGUACAGAGGCGGAGUCAGUCGUUGACAAUACAGCACACUUACUGAGGCAAUGAAUCUGACCUGGAGGACAAAAUACAAGACACCAGCUGAGGGGAAAUUGUCACAAAAACAAGCCAACUCAAUCAGAAGAUAAGAAAAGACCAAUAAAAAACAAAGAGAAGAGCCAAUUGCUGAGAUACUGAGGACAAUUCAUCAUACAAUGAUACAAAGAACUUCAAGCUACAAACCAGUGAUACUUAAUAACACCUUGGAGGAGAGGAAAGGUUGCCACCUUAGAAACUAAUGGACACACUAUGUCCAUGAGUACACAGCCAACACCAGUGAAUGAUGGUACCCCCCUGAACGCCACUGUGUCGGACCCGCACUCACAGCAGCACAUAUGGCACACUGUGGUCACACUCUCCGUGGUGGCAGCAAUCGUCAUCGUCGUGAUUCUAGCAUACAAAGUAUUUCGUAGGACAGUAAGGAAUACACUUUGAUGAAUGGUUAUGCAGACAUAACAGCCUAAAGUUUUGUCUGUGAACAACAGGGGCGGAUAUAGGCCGUCUUCUGGGUCUUC